rnacentral:rRNA from 1 species
GUAGGUGGCAAGCGUUGUCCGGAAUUAUUGGGCGUAAAGCGCGCGCAGGCGGUUCUUUAAGUCUGAUGUGAAAGCCCACGGCUCAACCGUGGAGGGUCAUUGGAAACUGGGGAACUUGAGUACAGAAGAGGAAAGCGGAAUUCCACGUGUAGCGGUGAAAUGCGUAGAGAUGUGGAGGAACACCAGUGGCGAAGGCGGCUUUCUGGUCUGUAACUGACGCUGAGGCGCGAAAGCGUGGGGAGCAAACAGGGAUUAGAUACCCUGGUAGUCCACGCCGUAAACGAUGAGUGCUAAGUGUUAGGGGGUUUCCGCCCCCUUAGUGCUGCAGCUAACGCAUUAAGCACUCCGCCUGGGGAUACGGCCGCGAGGCUG